GCCCCGUUAGCUCAGUUGGUAGAGCAACUGCCUUUUAAGCAGAUGGUCGUAGGUUCGAUCCCUGCACGGGGCA
rnacentral:tRNA from 1 species